rnacentral:rRNA from 1 species
GACGAACGCUGGCGGCGUGCUUAACACAUGCAAGUCGAACGGAAAGGCCCUGCUUUUGUGGGGUGCUCGAGUGGCGAACGGGUGAGUAACACGUGAGUAACCUGCCCUUGACUUUGGGAUAACUUCAGGAAACUGGGGCUAAUACCGGAUAGGAGCUCCUGCUGCAGGGUGGGGGUUGGAAAGUUUCGGCGGUUGGGGAUGGACUCGCGGCCUAUCAGCUUGUUGGUGGGGUAGUGGCUUACCAAGGCUUUGACGGGUAGCCGGCCUGAGAGGGUGACCGGCCACAUUGGGACUGAGAUACGGCCCAGACUCCUACGGGAGGCAGCAGUGGGGAAUAUUGCACAAUGGGCGGAAGCCUGAUGCAGCAACGCCGCGUGCGGGAUGACGGCCUUCGGGUUGUAAACCGCUUUCGCCUGUGACGAAGCGUGAGUGACGGUAAUGGGUAAAGAAGCACCGGCUAACUACGUG